GGGGCACGACACACACAAUCUAAAUGGACCAGCAAAUCUAUUAUUUUCAGUGCAUGUUUAACUUACCAUUUGUGUAGAUUUAUAUGAUGUAAAUCAAAUUGUGCUGGAUGAUUUCCAACAAUCUAUUAAUGAACCAUGUUAUCCAAAAUAGAAUAUAUUAGGGCACUUGUAAGUCCUUCAUUAACAAAAUCUAGAAAGAUAACAGUAGUAUAGUUGAAAUGAUCAGAAGAGAUUUCAAGAAAAGGAAAAAAAUGAUCAGUAGAUCAAAACUUGUUGCUUUUCCCGAUUCUGUAUCGACGUGAAUUCUUUUUUGGUCCAAUGUAAAACUCUUAGCUAUUAUUAUUCAUAAAGCAAGAGAAAGUUAGCAAUAGCGGCAUGAUACUUUUACAAAGAAUCUGAGAGCAGAACAAUCACUGAGCCCUACAGAAAAGCCAAUGACGAAAGAGCCACCAUAACUCAGCAGCGAUAAGAGAAAGUACCAUGGCAGUUAUGCAGAAUGAUUCUCCCGACUGGUGAUGAGCAAGCCAAGCGAUUUCACAGUCUCAAGAGAGUUUACUUCUAAAUACACUACACAUUUGCAGUUUUCGCUGAAUUCUUUCUGUAACUAGACAAUCAAAGAAUAGAUGAUCCAUACUUUCCACAGCCAUUGCACAGCAAACACAAGUUGCUGAUUCCACCUUCGAACCCCACUUCCUCAAUCUACUGUUGUCAAUUUUCUUUUACAAGGUAGCGAUAAGAUAAAGGAGCAUCUUGAUAUAUGAUUCUUACCCCAAA